CUCAGGAUGAACGCUGGCGGCGUGCUUAACACAUGCAAGUCGAACGAUGAUCCCAGCUUGCUGGGGGAUUAGUGGCGAACGGGUGAGUAACACGUGAGUAACCUGCCCUUAACUCUGGGAUAAGCCUGGGAAACUGGGUCUAAUACCGGAUAUGACUCCUCAUCGCAUGGUGGGGGGUGGAAAGCUUUUUUGUGGUUUUGGAUGGACUCGCGGCCUAUCAGCUUGUUGGUGAGGUAAUGGCUCACCAAGGCGACGACGGGUAGCCGGCCUGAGAGGGUGACCGGCCACACUGGGACUGAGACACGGCCCAGACUCCUACGGGAGGCAGCAGUGGGGAAUAUUGCACAAUGGGCGAAAGCCUGAUGCAGCGACGCCGCGUGAGGGAUGACGGCCUUCGGGUUGUAAACCUCUUUCAGUAGGGAAGAAGCGAAAGUGACGGUACCUGCAGAAGAAGCGCCGGCUAACUACGUGCCAGCAGCCGCGGUAAUACGUAGGGCGCAAGCGUUAUCCGGAAUUAUUGGGCGUAAAGAGCUCGUAGGCGGUUUGUCGCGUCUGCCGUGAAAGUCCGGGGCUCAACUCCGGAUCUGCGGUGGGUACGGGCAGACUAGAGUGAUGUAGGGGAGACUGGAAUUCCUGGUGUAGCGGUGAAAUGCGCAGAUAUCAGGAGGAACACCGAUG
rnacentral:rRNA from 1 species